GCUUAGGAUGCUGGCGGUGGUCCGUUCAGGCCGCCAUCGCCAGACGGCGACAGGGGAGGAAGCCCGGUGAGAUUCCGGCGCGGUCCCGCCACUGUGAGUCCGGUCGCCGCCACCACCGGCUGCCGGACGAGUCAGGAACUCCCUUCUCCGAGCACCCGGUAGU
rnacentral:ncRNA from 2 species